rnacentral:rRNA from 1 species
UGGGGAAUUUUGGACAAUGGGCGAAAGCCUGAUCCAGCAAUGCCGCGUGUGUGAAGAAGGCCUUCGGGUUGUAAAGCACUUUUGUCCGGAAAGAAAUCCUUGGGCUCUAAUACAGUCGGGGGAUGACGGUACCGGAAGAAUAAGCACCGGCUAACUACGUGCCAGCAGCCGCGGUAAUACGUAGGGUGCAAGCGUUAAUCGGAAUUACUGGGCGUAAAGCGUGCGCAGGCGGUUUGCUAAGACCGAUGUGAAAUCCCCGGGCUCAACCUGGGAACUGCAUUGGUGACUGGCAGGCUAGAGUAUGGCAGAGGGGGGUAGAAUUCCACGUGUAGCAGUGAAAUGCGUAGAGAUGUGGAGGAAUACCGAUGGCGAAGGCAGCCCCCUGGGCCAAUACUGACGCUCAUG